GACGAACGCUGGCGGCGUGCUUAACACAUGCAAGUCGAGCGGUAAGGCCCUUUCGGGGGUACGACGAGCGGCGAACGGGUGAGUAACACGUGGGUGACCUGCCCUCAGCUCUGGGAUAAGCCUGGGAAACCGGGGUCUAAUACUGGAUAUGACUCCAUGACGCAUGUUGUGGGGUGGAAAGCCUUGUGCGGCUGAGGAUGGGCCCGCGGCCUAUCAGCUUGUUGGUGGGGUGANGGCCUACCAAGGCGACGACGGGUAGCCGGCCUGAGAGGGCGACCGGCCA
rnacentral:rRNA from 1 species